rnacentral:rRNA from 1 species
UACGGAGGAUGCAAGCGUUAUCCGGAAUGAUUGGGCGUAAAGCGUCCGCAGGUGGCAUUGUGUGUCUGCUGUUAAAGAGUGAGGCUUAACCUCAUAAAAGCAGUGGAAACUACAAAGCUAGAGUGCGUUCGGGGCAGAAGGAAUUCCUGGUGUAGCGGUGAAAUGCGUAGAGAUCAGGAAGAACACCGGUGGCGAAGGCGUUCUGCUAGGCCGCAACUGACACUGAGGGACGAAAGCUAGGGGAGCGAAUGGG